rnacentral:lncRNA from 1 species
AUUUCACUGAGUUCUUACUGUGGAUCGCAGCCCACGGGAUCUAUGGUCCUUUUCUAUCCAGGCUCAGCACCUAUGCAUUCAAGAUUGGAAGUAGAGACACAAGUCACUUCACAGUCCAGAAAGCUAUUAUUGUUUCUGUUUCAGUAUGAGGGAGUCACAGACUUUGGGACAGGAUUCGGAGCAGGGUUAUUAUGGAUCCUGGAUCUCUACUUCAAUGUUCAUUACCUGGAUCAAUUUGGCUAAUAGGUUCCCUGUGGAUUGGCUUGCUUCCAAGCACAUACAUGGAAGAUGCAAAGGUGGGUGGGCCUGGUGCGGGACAGGAAGAAGACCAAAAACAGAAAAGGGUCCGACCCCUCCGCUUUCCAGGACCUGCUUCGGGAGAGGGUACGGGAGGUAGAAUCCAUGCAAAACUCCAAGAUCACCAGCUGAACACAAGAGGCAUAGAUCAAGGGAACUGGAGAUGCAGGGGUUGAAGGAUGCCCUGAGCUAUCCCUGGGAGGAAGGGAGGGAAGGAAUGAGAAGGAGACCCUGACUGCCCCUGGCCCAUUCCAGCUGCCCACCGCUCCGACACACAUCCGUCUACACAGCUGACACAGCCUGGGCUCAGGAUGGGCUGGCUCGGGUCCCUCAAUCCUCAGUGGGAUAGCUGUCCCCAGGGCUCACAGACAUGCUGAGAGAAAUGAGAGGGAAAGCUGCCCCACCCAGGUCAUCCCCUCCUUGAGAAGACAGCCCUUCAGAACUGCUAAAAAAAAAACCCCACUAAAGACAUGCCAUGGAUGAACUAAGGCAUAGAGAUAUGUAAAAUAACAUUCACUUUUAAGUUCAGAGCUGUCAUCUCAGGAAGUGGGGAGAGCUUCCCUGAAGAAGACUGAGGGGAGGGCAGGCCAUGCUGAAAAGGGAGACAUGGCUCUCCUGAUUGGGGACCUGCAGCCCCCUUCCAGGGCAGGACAUCAUCCUCGCAUCACACGAGAUCCAUCAGGGCCAGAUGUUUGUCUCGAGAAGGCUACCCUGGCAUCGGACUGCACAGGGCACCAGGGACGAGGGCCAGAUGGAGGACGGACAAUACCCCGGAGGCCAUGGGGCAAGAGCAGAGGCACACGACCUUGAAGAUGAUGAUGAAAAGCAGGAGGUGGCAGCAUGGAGCCGGCCCGAAAGUGCCAUGGGAGCAGUGCCCACAGCUACACUGACGGUGCCUUCUGUGCCAGGUGUGGCUGACUUCAGUGGGCUCCAGACUAGUCCUGACCACAAGUCUAGGAAGUAUGCACCACCCCCGGCCUCCUCUCCCCUUGCAGCUACUAGGAAUCAAGGCCACAGACCCUAG